UCGUAUCUACAUUGUUUGGAUGUUGAUGUACUACUUCCGCAGCUAUGUCAAUCAGCGCCUUCCUACCAAGACGUGGAAGGGGUUCUCUCAACCUUUCUGCUGAUGGAGUCCUAUUGCUUGUGGCAUCCUUGGCUGAGAUCCUAUGCAGCAAAUGGAUAAAGGAAAAUGUCAAUUGAUUGUUCAAGUUCAAAAA